UUUUAUUGAUGGCUUUUGUGUUUUUUUCUGUUGGGCCGACGGGGUGUGUGUGAGGGCCCAGCCCGUGUGAGUGAGGGGUGCUUAGCCCCUAAGCCGAAAACGGCGUCGUUUGGAAAUCUCGUAGGGCUUCAUCGCUUACCCUUCUCCCUGCGCCGCACCUCACUUCCCUUUCCCUCUUCUAUUUUUCUUCUCCUCUUCGUUUUUUUUCCUUCUCCUUCUUCCUUCAUGCCCGAGCUCCUUCAUCGUCACCCACCUCCUCCAUUGAACCACCUCCACGCAUCCUCUUCUGUGAGCCCAUCUCCAUCGAUCUGUGAGGCCAUCUUCAUCUUGUGGUAGAGGAUCCAAGGUUCGGAUCUCUCACUCUCUAUUAGAAAGGUUCAAUACUUUCACUGCUCUUGACCUGUUUAGGUGUUGCUACAGCUCAGGAGAUGCCGGUUGCCCUAACGGGUUCAGGUCUACCUUUCUAUAUUUUAGGAAAAGUUUAUCCCCGAAGGACCUAUCGAUCUGUCCUUUCAAGUUGGUAUUGUUGAAAAUUGAAAUAACAACUAAUUUAUGCUCGGCUUAUUACCUAACAUCUUCUAGAAGAUAUUCUUUUUUUUUUUUUUGAUAAUUCUAGAAGAUAUUCUUUUGCUUCUACAACAUUAGAUCAUUGCGUGGACUCUUCUCUUUUGGGUCCAAGUCUGGAAAAUCUAUACAUCUCCUCUUUUAUCAAUUAUCAUUUGAGAUAGUUUUUUAGGCUUCCUUACAGUUUCUGUAAUUCUCUUUAACUGUAUUGAUCCCAGUCAAUGUGUUAUCUUGGUUGUGUACUCUUUUGUUCUUUACGACUCAAAUUACAUCCAUAGCUUAGCUUAGAGUUAAGAACAAUCCGAAUCCAACAUUGGAUUGACCAAUAUGAUUGAUUCUCUACACAGCAUCUACACAACAUCUAAGCAGGAAAAGUUGUUCAACAGUUUCAGACAGUACUAAGCUGCUCAGAUCUUGGACAGAAUCCAGAUUACCACGUUACUUCUUUAUAUCUAUUAACAUGUUAUUGUGUGACCAUUUCUUAAAAAAGAGAUUAUGUUCAUGUCUGCACAGCAUAGAUGAAUUAAAUGUAUACAUUGAGUUGAAGUAGGUAACCUAACCAAUACCUACAACAGAGUACUUAAAUUCGUAAAAA